CGUUAAAACACCAGUUCUCGUAUGAUCACUGAAGUUAAGCAUCAUCGAGCCUGGUCAGUACCGAGAUGGGUGACUGCUUCAGGGUACCGGAUACUGU